UAACCGUAUAGAUACAAUACAGAAUUACCGCGCAUGCAGCACCAGGCUCCUUGAUCAAGUCAAACAGUCAACCUCGUUCCCAGGUCUUUCCCCUCUAUGGGAAAACCCCUUGGGAACGAGGCUAGGCAAACAGUUCGUUUCAGUACAAGGACUGAUCACAGAGAAGACUAGAUCGACUAUCUCAGUAUUAAAUCAGUUGAUCAUGAUUCUGAGAAAUAGAAUAAUAAUAUCCUUCAUUUAUUUAAAAUCAGUGUUACAGCCCUGCAUGUUUGUGAGGUGGCAACUAUAUCUAACCAUGCUGACUAUUCUCUGGUGUAAAUUAAAAUUAAAAUUUUAAAUCUGACAUCCUUUUCACCAGGUACUGACUGUACAGAAAAACUAUUGAAAUUGUCUUCCUUAGUGUCGAAACAUCAUAUAAUUUAACUGAAAUAUUGAAUCAUUUUACAUUUCGAGUCUGCAGUAGAAGUUUUUGAAUCUGCUAUUUCCGCCCUGACAUGACUGUUCUCAGCGGGCAUAUUAUUAAUUGAGAUCAAUGUAACUGGUGUAUUAACUUAAUUACUGGGUGCCAAGGUGAAUCAGCUACCUAAAACAAAUCCUACAUGUUUUGAAUUUGUGUUUAGUUGUAUGGUCACAAAAAAGAGGUGUGUUUGAAAAUUAGCUCUCGUGCGGACACCCUGUGGAGUCACACAGAAGUAAAACGUCGCUGGCGUUUCACAAAACAGUUUGCUUUUACGUUUGUCAGCAUGAAAUGGCAGGUGCUAUGUGAAAAACACUUCUUAUUGAAGUCGAUUUGCUGCUUUCUCUCCGUUCAAACCGAAAGUCACUCAAUUUUCUGGCCAUUCGUUACAGGACCUGACAGAAAGCAUACUAUGGCACUAUACAACAGGCAAAAAUCAAUAUCUUAGGUUAAGAAAAACAAAAUAAAUUAUUGUUAAUUGAGAGAAAAAGGAAAAACUCGAAGCAGUCGGUACGAUGUCUUGGAAUUACUUUCCGAGUCAGGCAAUUAGAGUUAAUUAGCAAGCUUUUUAUUAGUAGCAUCACCGUUUGCAGACGAGUAAAAACGUCUGUAAUUAAUCUUAGUUCUUCCCCACAAAUUUCUCACAAAAAGAAACAUUUUUUGAAAGCAGAGUUCAAAGAGAGAUUUGAAACGCGUUGUAACAACUUUUGCAAAACCUCUGCUAACAGAUCUAAUUAAAGCCAGGGCAGAUGUCUAUUGAUGCAGGCAGGCCCAAGUUAUUGAAACUUAUUGAUACACUCUCGGUAAAUUUUAUGUGGGCUUAAAGAAACUAAUGUCAUUUUGUUAAUUACAUCGCAAACUUCGCUCAUUUGGUCUUUUCCGGUUUGCUGCCAUGUUUGUGCUAUUAAAUCAACGCCAUCGCAACUGAAAGAUGUAAGGCCAGGACUGCAAAGAAAGGAAGAAAAAUGAAUCUUGGAAAACAUCCAUUGGUUUGUUCACCCGUGAGGGAUAAAUAAAAUCGCAGUCGGAGUAGGGCUCCUUAUCUGAAGUCUGAUCGGGGAUGUCUCACCAACAGCCAGCCCUGUUUUACAUCAUUUGCUGACACUGGAGACUCAGUUUAAUCUGCUUGGAGAAUCUAUGACGGAAAACUCACUCUGAGAUCUCCACGAGAGAGCAUUUCAUCGCCGAUUUACAAUGUACAAGUGAUUCGGCUACAAAUGUACUAUUUAUAACGGUCUGAUCCCUCUGAACAUUGCACGCACCCGGCUCAGCAGCUCAGAUCAUAAGCAUCGUGUUAGAUCUGGCUGCACCCAAGGGAGUUAAGUAGAUACCGCCCCCUUAAACGUUUCCAUUGAUUGUCUACAUCAGAAUGCUGCUGGUACCGCGGUCUAAGAAUAUCAACCAUGACUAACUAAUUACAAUUUAGAAACAGAAUACAUUCACGGCGAGCUAUGACUAGGUACAAAAUGUUAAAAGCAACAAACGUCGCUAACCUGUGGCAAAGUAUUUCCCAAAGUCAAAAGUUGGACCAGCCAGUUAUUGCUAAAACCCGUUUCAUUCAUGUCAGGCGUUAUCUCGAUAAUUUUUUAACCGGGUGUUUUAUCACAAAAGGAUUGAGAAAUCCUCGAUUUAUUCAAUCAUUAUUAUGAUAUUCACGACUGACGCUUUUAGGAGAAGGCUAGAAGUCAAGUUUGGCUUUAUAAAUGGCAUAAUGACCUUCACGAGGGGUAAAAUUUCACUGAGUAAAUCUCAAACGCAAUACAACCCGAGCGAAAGUCAGUCCAACGGUUCAUCCUCUAGCAGUGUAAACGUCGAUCACGGAAAGAAAACACUUUAAAUAUAAUCUUAACAUGAGGACUCUGCCGUUAAACUGUGAAGAAUAAACAAAUAAACAUUAAACUGUGUUUACACAUA
rnacentral:lncRNA from 1 species